UCAAAAUGGACAAAGGAAGAAAAAGAGCAUAAACAUGAACAAAGGUCCAAGUGGACAAAGAGAAAAUAUGAUAUGAGAUGCUAAAAUAAAAAGCAUAAAGUAAAUAGAAAAAAAUAAAUAGCAUAAGAUAAAUGACAUUAAAGUAAAGUCAAUGCAAUGAUAUGUUAGUAAGUGGUGUUAGUAAUCGAAAAUGGAAAGAUAACUUGUCAUUUUUGGGAGAACACUCAGUUAUU
rnacentral:lncRNA from 1 species